CCUACGGGUGGCAGCAGUGGGGAAUAUUGCACAAUGGGGGAAACCCUGAUGCAGCGACGCCGCGUGAGUGAAGAAGUAAUUCGUUAUGUAAAGCUCUAUCAGCAGGGAAGAAAAUGACGGUACCUGAGUAAGAAGCCCCGGCUAACUACGUGCCAGCAGCCGCGGUAAUACGUAGGGGGCAAGCGUUAUCCGGAUUUACUGGGUGUAAAGGGAGCGUAGACGGCAGUGCAAGUCUGGAGUGAAAGGCGGGGGCUCAACCCCCGGACUGCUCUGGAAACUGGACGGCUGGAGUGCAGGAGAGGUAAGUGGAAUGCGGGGUGUAGCGGUGAAAUGCGUAGAUAUACGGAGGAACACCAGUGGCGAAGGCGGCCUGCUGGACACUAACUGACGCUGAGGCGCGAAAGCGUGGGGAGCAAACAGGAUUAGAUACCCCAGUAGUC
rnacentral:rRNA from 1 species